rnacentral:snRNA from 1 species
UGAGCACAAAUCGAACCAUUCUUUCGUCUUUUACUAAAGAAUAUCGUGUGCUCG